CUCCAAAAGGAACAUUUGAAACCAUGCAAAGACAUGGAUAUUAAAUAACCUACUCCUGAAUGAUCAUUGGGUCAAAAACGAAAUCGGAUGGAAAUCAAAAAAUUAUUUGAACGGAACGACAAUAGUGACACAACCUAUCAAAACCUCUGGGAUACAGCAAAGGCGGUGCUAAGAGGAAAGUUCAUAUCCCUAAACAUCCACAUCAAAAAGACUGAAAGAACACAAACUGACAUUCUAAGGUCACAUCUCAAGGAACUAGAGAAACAAGAACAAACCCAACCCAACCCCAGCAGAAGAAAGGAAAUAACCAAGAUCAGAGCAGAACUAAAUGAAAUUGAAACAACAACAAAAAAAUACAAAAGAUAAGUGAAACAAAAAGCUGGCUCCUUGAAAAGAUAAAUAAAGCUGAUAGACGAUUAGCAAGAUUAACCAACAAAAGAAGAGAAAAAAUCCAAAUAACCUCAAUAAGAAAUGAAAUGGGAGAUAUUACAACUGACACUGCAGAAAUACAAAAGAUCAUUCAAGCCUACUAUGAACACCUUUAUGCACAUAAAGUAGAAAACUUAGAAGAGAUGGAUAAAUUCCUGGAAAGAUACAAACCUCCUAGCUUAAAUCAAGAAGAAUUAGAUACCCCGAACAGACCAAUAACAAGCAGUGAGAUUGAAAUGGUAAUUUAAAAAUUACCAACAGAAACAAGUCCAGGACCAGACAGAUUCACAGCAGAAUUCUACCAGACAUUCAAAGAAGAAUUGGUAGCAAUCCUAUUGACACUAUUCCACAAAAUAGAGAAAGAAAGAGCCAUCCCUAAUUCAUUCUAUGAAGUCAGCAUUACUUUAAUACCAAAACCAGGAAAGGACAUAACCAGAAAACUACAGACCAAUAUCCCUGACGAACAUAGAUGCUAAAAUCCUUAACAAAAUACUAGCUAACUGAAUCCAACAACAUAUCAAAAAGAUAAUUCACCAUGAUCAAGUGGGUUUCAUACCAGGGAUGCAGGGAUGGUUUAACAUACACGAGUCAAUAAAUGUGAUACACCACAUAAACAGAAUUAAAA
rnacentral:lncRNA from 1 species